UGGUAGGACGUUUACUGGGAGCUAUCUAAGGUAAAAUUGGUGACUGGGGCU
rnacentral:rRNA from 1 species